rnacentral:rRNA from 1 species
AGAUUGAACGCUGGCGGCGUGCCUAACACAUGCAAGUCGAGCGGUAACAGGUGUAGCAAUACAUGCUGACGAGCGGCGAACGGGUGAGUAAUGCUUUGGAAUCUUCCCAGUAGUGGGGAAUAACCAGUCGAAAGAUUGGCUAAUACCGCAUACGUCUGAAAAGGGAAAGCGGGGGAUCGCAAGACCUCGUGCUAUUGGAUGAGCCAAAGUCGGAUUAGCUAGUUGGUGGGGUAAUGGCCUACCAAGGCGACAAUCCGUAGCUGGUCUGAGAGGACGACCAGCCACACCGGAACUGAGACACGGUCCGGACUCCUACGGGAGGCAGCAGUGGGGAAUAUUGGACAAUGGGGGAAACCCUGAUCCAGCGACGCCGCGUGUGUGAAGAGGCCUGCGGGUUGUAACCCCUUUCAGCAGGGACGAAUUCAGACGGUACCUGCAGAAGAAGCGCCGGCUAACGUACGUGCCAGCAGCCGC